AGUAACGCGUGAGGAACCUGCCUCAAAGAGGGGGACAACAGUUGGAAACGACUGCUAAUACCGCAUAAGCCCACAGCUCGGCAUCGAGCAGAGGGAAAAGGAGUGAUCCGCUUUGAGAUGGCCUCGCGUCCGAUUAGCUGUUGGUGAGGUAACGGCCCACCAAGGCGACGAUCGGUAGCCGGACUGAGAGGUUGAACGGCCACAUUGGGACUGAGACACGGCCCAG
rnacentral:rRNA from 1 species